AUUGAACGCUGGCGGCAGGCCUAACACAUGCAAGUCGAGCGGAUGAAGGGAGCUUGCUCCUGGAUUCAGCGGCGGACGGGUGAGUAAUGCCUAGGAAUCUGCCUGGUAGUGGGGGAUAACAUCCGGAAACGGGCGCUAAUACCGCAUACGUCCUGAGGGAGAAAGUGGGGGAUCUUCGGACCUCACGCUAUCAGAUGAGCCUAGGUCGGAUUAGCUAGUUGGUGGGGUAAAGGCCUACCAAGGCGACGAUCCGGAACUGGUCUGAGAGGAUGAUCAGUCACACUGGAACUGAGACACGGUCCAGACUCCUACGGGAGGCAGCAGUGGGGAAUAUUGGACAAUGGGCGAAAGCCUGAUCCAGCCAUGCCGCGUGUGUGAAGAAGGUCUUCGGAUUGUAAAGCACUUUAAGUUGGGAGGAAGGGCAGUAAGUUAAUACCUUGCUGUUUUGACGUUACCAACAGAAUAAGCACCGGCUAACUUCGUG
rnacentral:rRNA from 1 species